GUGGUGGCUCAGUGGUAGAGUGCUUGCCUAGCAUAUGCAAGGGACUGGGUUCAAUUCUCAGCACCACA
rnacentral:tRNA from 1 species